UACGUAGGGCGCGAGCGUUGUCCGGAAUCAUUGGGCGUAAAGAGCUCGUAGGCGGCCGGUUGCGUCUGCUGUGAAAUCCCGGGGCUUAACCCCGGGCGUGCAGUGGAUACGGGCUGGCUGGAGGCAGGCAGGGGAGAAUGGAACUCCCGGUGUAGCGGUGAAAUGCGCAGAUAUCGGGAGGAACACCGGUGGCGAAGGCGGUUCUCUGGGCCUGUGCUGACGCUGAGGAGCGAAAGCGUGGGGAGCGAACAGG
rnacentral:rRNA from 1 species